UACGAAGGGGCUAGCGUUGUUCGGAAUUACUGGGCGUAAAGCGCACGUAGGCGGAUAUUUAAGUCAGGGUGAAAUCCCAGAGCUCAACUCUGGAACUGCCUUUUGAUACUGGGUAUCUCGAGUAUGGAAGAGGUGAGUGGAAUUCCGAGUGUAGAGGUGAAAUUCGUAGAUAUUCGGAGGAACACCAGUGGCGAAGGCGGCUCACUGGUCCAUUACUGACGCUGAGGUGCGAAAGCGUGGGGAGCAAACAGG
rnacentral:rRNA from 1 species